rnacentral:tRNA from 1 species
GGUUGUGUGGCUCAGCGGUAGAGUACUCAUCUAGCACGCUUGAGACACUGGGUUCAAUCCUCAGCACCACUA